GUAAGGAAUAUUGGUCAAUGGACGAAAGUCUGAACCAGCCAUGCCGCGUGAAGGAUGAAGGCCCUCUGAGUUGUAAACUUCUUUUAUCUGGGACGAAAAAAGGGUAUUCUUACUCACUUGACGGUACCAGAGGAAUAAGCACCGGCUAACUCCGUGCCAGCAGCCGCGGUAAUACGGAGGGUGCAAGCGUUAUCCGGAUUCACUGGGUUUAAAGGGUGCGUAGGUGGGUAUUUAAGUCAGUGGUGAAAUCUCCGAGCUUAACUCGGAAACUGCCAUUGAUACUAUUUACCUUGAAUGCCCUGGAGGUAAGCGGAAUAUGUCAUGUAGCGGUGAAAUGCUUAGAUAUGACAUAGAACACCAAUUGCGAAGGCAGCUUACUACGGGGUGAUUGACACUGAGGCACGAAAGCGUGGGGAGCAAACAGGAUUAGAAACCCGUGUAGUCC
rnacentral:rRNA from 1 species